rnacentral:rRNA from 1 species
UACGUAGGCAGCGAGCGUUGUUCGGAGUUACUGGGCGUAAAGCGUGCGUAGGCGGUUUUCUAAGUUUGGUGUGAAAUCUCCCGGUUCAACUGGGAGGGUGCGCCGAAGACUGGGAGACUGGAGUGUGGGAGAGGUAGGCGGAAUUCCUGGUGUAGCGGUGAAAUGCGUAGAUAUCAGGAGGAACACCUGUGGUGUAGACGGCUUACUGGACCAUGACUGACGCUGAGGCACGAAAGCGUGGGGAGCAAACAGG